UCAAUUGAUACCAUCUGACCAUAUGGACCAAAGAGAUUAAGUAGCGUGCUUGAGAAGUCUGUGGUACACCUGGGGAAAGAACCAAGAGAUCCUAACAUAUAAUCCAGUGUCUUAAUUACAAGAUCAUCCUUCCUCUCCCAAACAUUUAUGUUGCUGCAAGGACCCACUCCCUUGUUUCAGUAAAGAGCCUGUAACUUUGCAGAAGCUGGUGUUGAAGAGGAGUAUGCUUGGAAACCAUAAGGGUCCCCUGCAAACGUAAGAACAGACCAUAGCCACAAGUGAGACCUCGUGACUCUAGUUCUUCUGGAUGCUGUAGUGUUUCAACAAGAUACUUCAGCAGAGAGUGGUGGAGAAAAGAAGUGCAGUGGAGAGAAAGAAGAGUCAAUGGGAAGAAAAGGAAUUCUGCAGAUGUAGAAUUAAAGGCCAUUUCCCUCUUGUGAAGUUCCUAGUGGGCCACAUGUGCAUGGGAUCUUGAGAUGAAGAAAUCAAAGGAAACUGCAAUGGGUAGCUACCAAACAAGCAAGGCUGAUUCCUCCAGACAUACCAGGUCUUCAGAGGGCGCGGUGCAUUUUGACAGAUUUCUGUUAAGCUUGCAUAGCAUUAUACAAAGUGAUUGCCAUCUGUAUGCUAAUCCAUGUGCUCCGUCGCAGUGUGCACGUUUAAUUGUAAGCAUUGACCACAAUUCCAAUUCUGCUUUUGCUCUUAUUACAAUGGACGAUUGGCUCAUUCGUGCAACAGGGAAAAAAAAAACUCAAGUGAAAAACAAAGAAGCCAAAACUGAUUCAAGUGAAGCACAUGCCACAUAUAUCAGUACAACUACUUCUGUGAUGGGGCAGGGAGGGGGCAUAAAUUACUACAGACACAAAGAAGGGGGUCAUGAGAUCAAAUAAGUUUGAGAACCACUGUACGAAGGUGUAUGGAGUUCCCAGUGCCCAUGGUAAAACAUCAGCCUAUGAAAAAUAUUUAUUGUGGUUAUAAACCUAUUCUGUAGUGCCAAUUGCAUGUUAAAUCUUAGGACUCAGAGUAACUUAUCAUUAAUAUUUAGUGUGUGUACUGUAACAGUUACUGUGCAGGCUGGCUCUGUGUGGCACAUCCACAGACAAGCCCUAUUGGGGGAGGAGAGGGUCUCCCAGAAAGAAAGGAUCCUACUCUCAAGAAGUUGUGGGUGCAGU